UUAUUUACCCGAAAAUUCAUUUCCCACCUCCCAAAAUCAAUCUAAAUUUUCAUUUCCCUACCCAAAAAUUCAUUUCCCUCCUACCGAAAUCAAUAUGAAUUUUUAUUUCCCUCCUACAAGAUUCAUUUCCCCCAAUCAAUUCAAAUGAAAGACCCAAGCUUCCUUUUACAUACUCAACCUUUGAACCGCAACCCUAAUCCCUAACAAUCAAGGAUGAUGAUGGUGGUUAUGACAGUGGUUCUGGUUGUAAUGUUACAGUGACUAAUGUUUAGAUCGAAGGUGAUGGUGUCGUGAAGGAGGGUGUGCGGGAGAGGUGGUUGUUGACGGUGGGUAAGAGCUGUGGAGGUUUUCGUCAACUUCCUCUAUUCCAUUCGCAUCCUACCAACGAGACAAAGAAGCAAAAAGGCAGAAAAUAUGGAGAAGCGUAUGCAGACCGAGUGUAAGGAGUGUAAUGAUGCAAUGUUAAGGAGAAAAAUGGAUUCGCCUUUGCCUGAGACAAGGGGCGUAUGCCUUUCUGAAGAGCUGACCGUUGCAACUGUACGCCUUUUAAAAACUUAAUAGUUGAUAGAAUGAUACUUGUUAUUUGUUACUUCGCUUUUACGUAUUAAUUAGAUUAUAUUUGUAUAAUUUUAUUGCCUUUCUGAAGAGCUGACCAAGAAUCGAUGGCAGUUGGUUUGUUGGAAUGAGAACUCUGCAUCAUAGUUUUUGCAGCACUAUCAAGUCAAAAAGGAGUGAGUUCAUAGACAUGAAGAAAACAACCUAUAAAUAGUUUUAGUUUAUGUGUGUUGUCAUUUCUUUUUUCAACUUUUGUAGAUAGAUUUUAUUAGAGGUUUUUUAUUAGUCUUAAGUUGA